AGAGUUUGAUCAUGGCUCAGAUUGAACGCUGGCGGCAGGCCUAACACAUGCAAGUCGAACGGUAACAGGAAACAGCUUGCUGUUUCGCUGACGAGUGGCGGACGGGUGAGUAAUGUCUGGGAAACUGCCUGAUGGAGGGGGAUAACUACUGGAAACGGUAGCUAAUACCGCAUAACGUCGCAAGACCAAAGAGGGGGACCUUCGGGCCUCUUGCCAUCGGAUGUGCCCAGAUGGGAUUAGCUUGUUGGUGGGGUAACGGCUCACCAAGGCGACGAUCCCUAGCUGGUCUGAGAGGAUGACCAGCCACACUGGAACUGAGACACGGUCCAGACUCCUACGGGAGGCAGCAGUGGGGAAUAUUGCACAAUGGGCGCAAGCCUGAUGCAGCCAUGCCACGUGUAUGAAGAAGGCCUUCGGGUUGUAAAGUACUUUCAGCGGGGAGGAAGGGAGUAAAGUUAAUACCUUUGCUCAUUGACGUUACCCGCAGAAGAAGCACCGGCUAACUCCGUGCCAGCAGCCGCGGUAAUACGGAGGGUGCAAGCGUUAAUCGGAAUUACUGGGCGUAAAGCGCACGCAGGCGGUUUGUUAAGUCAGAUGUGAAAUCCCCGGGCUCAACCUGGGAACUGCAUCUGAUACUGGCAAGCUUGAGUCUCGUAGAGGGGGGUAGAAUUCCAGGUGUAGCGGUGAAAUGCGUAGAGAUCUGGAGGAAUACCGGUGGCGAAGGCGGCCCCCUGGACGAAGACUGACGCUCAGGUGCGAAAGCGUGGGGAGCAAACAGGAUUAGAUACCCUGGUAGUCCACGCCGUAAACGAUGUCGACUUGGAGGUUGUGCCCUUGAGGCGUGGCUUCCGGAGCUAACGCGUUAAGUCGACCGCCUGGGGAGUACGGCCGCAAGGUUAAAACUCAAAUGAAUUGACGGGGGCCCGCACAAGCGGUGGAGCAUGUGGUUUAAUUCGAUGCAACGCGAAGAACCUUACCUGGUCUUGACAUCCACAGAACUUUCCAGAGAUGGAUUGGUGCCUUCGGGAACUGUGAGACAGGUGCUGCAUGGCUGUCGUCAGCUCGUGUUGUGAAAUGUUGGGUUAAGUCCCGCAACGAGCGCAACCCUUAUCCUUUGUUGCCAGCGGUCCGGCCGGGAACUCAAAGGAGACUGCCAGUGAUAAACUGGAGGAAGGUGGGGAUGACGUCAAGUCAUCAUGGCCCUUACGACCAGGGCUACACACGUGCUACAAUGGCGCAUACAAAGAGAAGCGACCUCGCGAGAGCAAGCGGACCUCAUAAAGUGCGUCGUAGUCCGGAUUGGAGUCUGCAACUCGACUCCAUGAAGUCGGAAUCGCUAGUAAUCGUGGAUCAGAAUGCCACGGUGAAUACGUUCCCGGGCCUUGUACACACCGCCCGUCACACCAUGGGAGUGGGUUGCAAAAGAAGUAGGUAGCUUAACCUUCGGGAGGGCGCUUACCACUUUGUGAUUCAUGACUGGGGUGAAGUCGUAACAAGGUAACCGUAGGGGAACCUGCGGUUG
rnacentral:rRNA from 1 species